rnacentral:rRNA from 1 species
AACGAACGCUGGCGGCAUGCCUAACACAUGCAAGUCGAACGGUACCUCCCGGUCCAGUGUCGCACGUGUGCGUGACGCGCGGAAACCUGACCUUAGGUUGGGAAACACUCCCCCAUCUGCUGGCUAACACCGGGUAAUGUUUUCGAACCCAAGAUUUGUCGCCUUUGUCUGGGCCCGCGUCGGUUUAGCUAGUUGGUAGGGUAAAAGACUGCCAAGGCGACGAUCCGUAGCUGGUCUGAGAGGAUGAUCAGCCACACUGGGACUGAGACACGGCCCAGACUCCUACGGGAGGCAGCAGUGGGGAAUAUUGGACAAUGGGCGAAAGCCUGAUGCAGCAAUGCCGCGUGAGUGAUGAAGGCCUUAGGGUUGUAAAGCUCUUUUACCCGGGAUGAUAAUGACAGUACCGGGAGAAUAAGCUCCGGCUAACUCCGUG